ensembl:lncRNA
AAUAACCCAGGAGACGGACAAAAUAUCGAAGGCCAUGGUGAAGGACCUUGACAGGAUGUUUGGCUCUACAGAAAAGCUGCUGGAGGCAGCGACGACUGCAAAAGAUGAAUCUUUUAAGGACACUGUGUGGAUGGCUUUGCAGGUUAAUUUAGAAGCCAUCCCUCGACCAGACAAUUUGAAAUCCAGAGACACCAGGUUCUUCUCAGCGGUGGGAAGAGGCUUCAGCGAAAACUUUCGCCGUUUGAAGAAGAGUUGGGCAGGUUCUAAUACCGUAGCGAUUAUAUUAGUAAUCCUUUUUUGUGUAUCAGUAUUUCCUCUGUGAGAAAAUCACAGUAGAGAUAAGUCCUUUAUUUUUCCCCAAGCCAGGGGAAAUUCACAUUGUUGUGGAAACGCAAUUCAAGAGAAGAAUUACAAAG